AAUAGAGUGCCUGAAUAAAGGACAAUCUUGAUAGGAUUGGUCAUGUGGAGCCCCCGCCCGCCUCUAUUA
rnacentral:tRNA from 1 species